ensembl:snRNA U6 U6 spliceosomal RNA
GUGCUUACUAUGGCAGCACAUAUACUAAAAUUGGAAUGAUAUAGAGAAGAUUGGCAUAGUUACUGCACAAGGAUGGCAUGCAAAUUCGUGAAGCGUUCCAUAUUAAG